rnacentral:lncRNA from 7 species
UAUGGUGUCAUUAUGGGGUCAUUAUAGGGUCCCAUUGGGGUCAUUAUGGGAUUAUUAUGGGGUCCCAUUGGGGUCAUUAUGGGGUUAUUAUGGGGUCAUUCUGUGGUCCCAUUGGGGUCAUUAUGGGGUCCCAUUCGUGUCAUUAUGGGGUCCCAUGGGGGUCAUUAUGGUGUCAUUAUGGGGUCAUUAUGGGGUCCCAUUGGGGUCAUUAUGGGGUCAUUAUUGGGUCCCAUUGGGGUCAUUAUGGAGUCAUUUUGGGGUCAUUAUGGGGUCCCAUUGGAGUCAUUCUGGGGUCAUUAUUGGGUUCCAUUGGGGUCCCAUUGUGGUCAUAAUGGGGUCAUUAUGGGGUCAUUAUGGGGUCCCAUUGUGUCCCAUUGGGGUCAUUAUGGGGUCCCAUUGGGGUCAUUAUGGGGUCCCUUUGGAGUCAUUAUGGGGUCAUUAUGGGGUCCCAUUGGAGUCAUUCUGGGGUCAUUAUUGGGUCCCAUUGGGGUCAUUAUGGUGUCAUUAUGGGGUCAUUAUGGGGUCCCACUGUGGUCAUUAUGGGGUCAUUAUGGGGUCAUUAUGGGGUCACUGUGGGGUCCCAUUGGGGUCAUUAUUCGGUCCUAUUGGGGUCAUUAUGGGGUCCCAUUGUGGUCAUUAUGGGGUCAUUAUGGGGUCCCAUUGGGGUCAUUCUGUGGCCCCAUUGGGGUGACUGUGUGGUGCGGUUCCCAGGUGUCCCAGCAGGGGGCGCUGUUGGGCCGAUUGGGGGCGGCGCUGCUGACGGCGGCGCGGGACGGAACCGUGCGGGUGUGGCACCCGAGGGGCGGGGCGCCGCUCGCCCACUACCGUUGCUCCGCCCCCAUCACCGCCAUGGCGCCGAGGCCACGCCCCUCGGCCCACGCCGCGCCCGGAUUGGCUGUGGGCGACGAAGCGGGGCGGGUCUACAUCCUGCGCUGGGACACGCCCACCGCCUGAAGCCACGCCCACUUCCGAAGCCACGCCCCCCCGCGCCGGAAGCCACUCCUACUGUGUGAAGCCACGCCCAUCAGAAGCCACGCCCGCUUCUGAAGCCACGCCCCUCCGAAGCCACGCCUACUCCCUGAAGCCACGCCCACUUCUGAAAGCCACGCCCUCUCUGAAAGCCACGCCCACUCCCGAAGCCACGCCCACCGCCCAGAGCCACGCCCACUCCAUGAAGCCACGCCCACGGAUCGAAGCCCCGCCCACAGCGGGAAGCCCCGCCCCUUUCUCUUUCCCCCCUUUGUAUCCAAUAAAGAUCGUUGGCUCCGCCCCCUUUGGUGACGUCAUUGGCCUCAUCCCCACACCCCACCCCAUAACCCCGCAACUCUGCCCCAUAGCCCCAUAACUCUGCCCCAUAACCCCAAAUUCUGCCCCAUAGCCCCAUAACCUGACCCACAACCCCACAUCCCACCCCAUAACCCCAUAGCCCCAUAACCUGUCCCAUAACCCCACACCCACCCCAUAACCGCACACCAACCCCAUAGCCCCACACCCACCCCAUAACCCCAUACCCACCCCAUAACCCCACAUCCCACCCCAUAACCCCACAUCGUGCCCCAUAACCCCACAUCCACCCCAUAACCCCACAUCGUGCCCCAUAACCCCACAUCCUGACCCAUAACCCCAUAACCUGACCCACAACCCCACACCCACCCCAUAACCCCAUAGCCCCAUAACCCGUCCUAUAACCCCAUACCCACCCCAUAACCCCAUCACCUGACCUAUAACCCCAUAUCCCGCCCCGUAACCCCACAAUGUGACCCAUAACCCACAUCCCACCCCAUAACCCCACCUCCACCCCAUAGCCCCACACCCCAUAACCCCAUAACCUGUCCUAUAACCCCACAUCCUGACCCAUAACCCCACAAUGCGACCCAUAACCCCACAUCCCACCCCAUAACCCCAUCUCCACCCCAUAACCCCAUAACCUGUCCUAUAACCCCACCUUCACCCCAUAACCCCACAUCCCACCCCAUAACCUGACCCACAACCCCACAAUGCAACCCAUAACCCCACACCCACCCCAUAACCCCACACCCCAAACCUGCCCCAUAACCCCAUCACCUGUCCUAUAACCCCAUAUCCCGCCCCAUAACGCCACAAUGUGACCCAUAACCCCACACCCCGCCCCAUAACCCCACAAUGUAUCCCAUAACCCCACCCCCACCCCAUAACCCCACAUCCCGCCCCAUAGCCCCACAUCCACCCCAUAACCCCACAGCCCCAUAACCUGUCCUAUAACCUCACACCCACCCCACAGCCCCACACCCACCCCAUAACCCCACAUCCCACCCCAUAACCCCACACCUGCUCCAUAACCCCACAGCCGCCCCAUAACCCCACACCCACCCCAUAACCGCACACCAACCCCAUAGCCCCACAUCCACCCCAUAACCCCAUAACCCCAAACCUGCCCCAUAACCCCAUCACCUGACCUAUAACCCCAUAUCCCCCCCGUAACCGCAUAAUGUGACCCAUAACCCCACAUCCCGCCCCAUAACCCAUCUCCACCCCAUAACCCCACACCCCAUAACCCCAUAGUCCCAUAACCCAUCCUAUAACCCCAUACCCACCCCAUAACCCCACAUCCUGACCCAUAACCCCAAAAUGUGACCCAUAACCCCAAAAUGUGACCCAUAACCCCACAUCCCACCCCAUAACCCCACACCCACCCCAUAACCCCACCUCCACCCCAUAACCCCACACCCCAUAACCCCAUAACCUGUCCUAUAACCCCACAUCCACCCCAUAACCCCACAUCCUGACCCAUAACCUCACAUCGUGCCCCAUAACCCCACCCCAUAGCCCCAUAACCCCACAUCCCGCCCCAUAGUCUGCACCCCAUAACCCCACAGCCCCAUAACCUGUCCUAUAACCCCACAUCCCACCCCAUAACCCCACAUCCACCCCGUAACCCCACACCCGCCCCAUAACCCCACAUCGUGCCCCAUAACCCCACAUCCUGACCCAUAGCCCCAUAACCUGAUCCGUAACCCCACACCCACCCCAUAACCCCAUAGCCCCAUAACCCGUCCUAUAACCCCAUACCCACCCCAUAACCCCAUCACCUGACCUAUAACCCCAUAUCCCGCCCCGUAACCCCACAAUGUGACCCAUAACCCCACAUCCCACCCCAUAACCCCACCUCCACCCCAUAGCCCCACACCCCAUAACCCCAUAACCUGUCCUAUAACCCCACAUCCUGACCCAUAACCCCACAAUGCGACCCAUAACCCCACAUCCCACCCCAUAACCCCAUCUCCACCCCAUAACCCCAUAACCUGUCCUAUAACCCCACCUUCACCCCAUAACCCCACAUCCCACCCCAUAACCUGACCCACAACCCCACAAUGCAACCCAUAACCCCACACCCACCCCAUAACCCCACACCCCAAACCUGCCCCAUAACCCCAUCACUUGUCCUAUAACUCCACACCCCGCCCCAUAACCCCACAAUGUAUCCCAUAACCCCACCCCCGCCCCAUAACCCCACAUCCCGCCCCAUAGCCCCACAUCCACCCCAUAACCCCACAGCCCCAUAACCUGUCCUAUAACCUCACACCCACCCCACAGCCCCACACCCACCCCAUAACCCCACAUCCCACCCCAUAACCCCACACCUGCUCCAUAACCCCACAGCCGCCCCAUAACCCCACACCCACCCCAUAACCGCACACCAACCCCAUAGCCCCACAUCCACCCCAUAACCCCAUAACCCCAAACCUGCCCCAUAACCCCAUCACCUGACCUAUAACCCCAUAUCCCCCCCCGUAACCGCAUAAUGUGACCCAUAACCCCACAUCCCGCCCCAUAACCCCAUCUCCACCCCAUAACCCCACACCCCAUAACCCCAUAGCCCCAUAACCCGUCCUAUAACCCCAUACCCACCCCAUAACCCCACAUCCUGACCCAUAACCCCACAAUGUGACCCAUAACCCCAAAAUGUGACCCAUAACCCCACAUCCCGCCCCAUAACCCCACACCCGCCCCAUAGCCCCACCUCCACCCCAUAACCCCACACCCCAUAACCCCAUAGCCCCAUAACCUGUCCUAUAACCCCACAUCCACCCCAUAACCCCACAUCCCACCCCAUAACCCCACAUCCUGACUCAUAACCUCACAUCGUGCCCCAUAACCCCACCCCAUAUCCCCAUAACCCCACAUCCCGCCCCAUAGUCUGCACCCCAUAACCCCAUAGCCCCAUAACCUGUCCUAUAACCCCACAUCCCACCCCAUAACCCCACCACCACCCCAUAACCCCACACCCACCCCAUAACCCCACAUCCUGACCCAUAGCCCCAUAACCUGAUCCGUAACCCCACACCCACCCCAUAACCCCAUAGCCCCAUAACCUGUCCUAUAACCCCACACCCACCCCAUAGCCCCACAUCCCACCCCAUAACCCCACACCCACCCCAUAACCCCAUCACCUGACCUAUAACCCCAUAUCCCGCCCCGUAACCCCACAAUGUGACCCAUAACCCCAUCUCCACCCCAUAACCCCACACCCCAUAACCCCAUAGCCCCAUAACCCGUCCUAUAACCCCAUACCCACCCCAUAACCCCACAUCCUGACCCAUAACCCCACAAUGUGACCCAUAACCCCAAAAUGUGACCCAUAACCCCACAUCCCGCCCCAUAACCCCACACCCGCCCCAUAGCCCCAUCUCCACCCCAUAACCCCACACCCCAUAACCCCAUAGCCCCAUAACCUGUCCUAUAACCCCACAUCCACCCCAUAACCCCACAUCCCACCCCAUAACCCCACAUCCUGACCCAUAACCUCACAUCGUGCCCCAUAACCCCACCCCAUAGCCCCAUAACCCCACAUCCCGCCCCAUAGUCUGCACCCCAUAACCCCACAGCCCCAUAACCUGUCCUAUAACCCCACAUCCCACCCCAUAACCCCACAUCCACCCCGUAACCCCACACCCGCCCCAUAACCCCACAUCCUGACCCAUAACCCCAUAACCUGACCCACAACCCCACACCCACCCCAUAACCCCAUAGCCCCAUAACCCGUCCUAUAACCCCAUACCCACCCCAUAACCCCACAUCCACCCCAUAACCCCACAAUGAGACCCAUAACCCCACACCAACCCCAUAACCCCACCUCCACCCCAUAACCCCACACCCCAUAACCCCAUAACCCCAUAACCUGUCCUAUAACCCCACCUCCACCCCAUAACCCCACAUCCACCCCAUAACCCCACAGCCGCCCCAUAACCCCACACCCCAUAACCGCAUAGCCCCAUAACCUGACCCAUAACCCCACAUCCCACCCCAUAACCGCACAAUGUGACCCAUAACCCCACAUCCCACCCCAUAGCCCCACCUCCACCCCAUAACCCCACACCCCAUAACCCCAUAGCCCCAUAACCUGUCCUAUAACCCCACAUCCACCCCAUAACCCCACAUCCCACCCCAUAACCCCACAUCCUGACUCAUAACCUCACAUCGU